AGAGGGGGCCCCCCGGAAGGAAGGCAGGCAGGGUCUGGGCGUGCUGAGAGCACCAAACUGUUCGAUGGAGCCCCACUUCCAGACACUGGACCCUGCACGAGGCCCUGGAAUGCGGCUUUGUGCCAGGCCCUUGGUGCAUUAAUUCUCCCGGGGAAUCCUUAGAAGACGGGAUCCUGAUUUUCCAGGUGAAGCUGAACACAGGGUAGGCAGCCGACCAGGGUGCCACAGCCGGGCGCUGGAAGCCAGAAGAUCCAAAUGCAAGCCCAUGGUCUGCACAAAGACUAAACAAACCAAAGAAAACCGUCAGGGAGACAGUUUGUUCCCAGCUGGGCGUGGAAAAAUCCGCAGAGGAGGGAGGCCUCCAUCGAGUUGCUGCUGUGGUCUGAGGCAGUUUACCUGGAUGAGCAGGAGACUCAGAUGCCAUUUAUCUGGAUUUCCGAGAUGCACAGCUUGAUGCUGAAUAAAAGUAUCUCAAGCCAUCCAUGUGAAGAAAAAGCUCUUUUCUAAAAAUCUGAACUCAAAUAUGAAAAGCACAGGUCGCUGUGGGUCUUAUUGGGAGCCCAGAGAGCUGGCAGCAAGGCCUCCCUGAACUAUGCAUCUCUGCAGUGCACACUGAUAAACCAUGCUGUGCUGUUGAUUUGUGACAGAUGAAUAUCCUGUCUCAUUAUCCUGAGCUAACCCUCCUAUUUUUGCCCUUUUUGUUGAAAGGAAUUAUUGUUAAUGCAUUUAUUUAAUUCGGGACUCCCAGUCAGACUUCUAAAGCAAAAAGCCAGUCAGCGUGAGGCACCUAGCGUAUUGGGUCUGCAAAGUAAGUGUUAAAUAAUUAUCAUUACUCCAUUGUGCUACCCAGCUGUGCUGUCUCACCUGCCAAAACCCCUCCGGGAGGACCCCACCUUAGGGGAGAAGACCCUUAUCAGGCCAGAGGUUUCUGACACAGAGGCUCAGGCUCUUGUCUGCCCAGGCACAGUGACACCACCAGACCUCACAAAGGCCUCAGGGCUGCUAUAAAUAAAUCACGGCUCUGUGCAAUACAGUGCCUCAAAAGGGCUGUUCCUUUCCAGGACCCAUCAGGGCUUGGGUGGGCAAACAGGAAGCCCCCCAGGCUCGUCGCUGUGGCUCUCACAUGCAUGCCCCUGUGUGGGUGCCUGAGCCUAAGCAAGCCCAGCUACGGAGGCACCUUUGUCUCCCACCUGAGCCUUGUUUCAUCAUUCACACCCUGCUCCCAAGGAAGCUCUCCAGGGAGAGAAGAUUCUUCUCCAUCCCCAACCUGAUGGAAAAACAUGACCUCUUGCAAAACCACUAUUUAAGAAGAUGCUAAAGUUGAGAGUGUAGAAAAAAGACAACAAAUGUGCGUGUCUGGAAACCUCUGGCAAAGUUUUCUAGUUUUUCCUCAUCACAAGGACAAGACCUCUUCAGACAGACCAGUUAGUUUUUCCGAAGGGGAGACUUGCUGAUUUCAAAACUUUGGACCCAGCUGGAACACGUUCUCUUCCCUACUUUUGUUUCUUCUGAGGGUUUGUGGAAACACAGCUAUCUUCCAGCCUCAGGACCCGUACGCACGUACAGUAAGUAAGAAGUGGAUGGAAACAGUUCCUCUCACCUCCAUGCAGCUUAAGUUCUAGUGGGGAAGACCCGCAAUAAACAAGACACGUCCCGCAACGAACGCGUUCACGGGCGUCGUGGAAAUCUAGCUUGUGCAUGACGCCCAGCUGCGGCCCAAACCCAGUGACUCAGCCCAGCGCGUUGCUAGGGACGCGCUCCCGCCGUUGCCAGGCCGUGACCCCUCGGGCGGACUCUCGCGAGGGUCCUCGAGACUUCGCGCGGAACCUAGCAGCGGUUGCCUGGAGACCGCGCAGCCCAGGCUGGGCUGGCGCGUUGGUCGGCGGGUCGCGGCCGCCGGGACUCCGGAGCCAUGGCGCCCAAAAAGAAAGGGAAGAAAGGGAAAGCCAAAGGUACCCCGAUUGUUGAUGGUCUCGCGCCGGAGGACAUGAGCAAGGAACAGGUGGUGGAACACAUUGGCCGCAUCCGGGAGGAGCUGGACCGUGAGCGGGUCGAGCGCAACUACUUCCAGCUGGAGCGGGACAGGAUCUACACUUUCUGGGAGAUCACGCGGAGGCAGCUGGAGGAGAAGAAGGCUGAGCUGAGGAACAAAGACCGGGAGAUGGAGGAGGCCGAGGAGAGGCACCAGGUGGAGAUCAAGGUCUAUAAGCAGAAGGUGAAGCACUUGCUGUACGAGCAUCAGAACAGCUUGAUGGAGAUGAAGGCGGAGGGCACCGUGGUCAUGAAGCUGGCGCAGGAGGAGCGCCGUGCGCAGGAGGGUGCCCUGUGCAGGGACAUGCGGGCGCUGCAGGUGGAGCUGAAGGAACAGGAGCUGGCUGGCGAGCUGGUGGUGAAGAACCUGAGGCUGAAACACACUGAGGAGAUCACCAAGAUACGCAAGGACUUUGAGCGGCAGGUGCGAGAAAUCGAGGCCAAGUACGAUAAGAAGGUCAGGAUGCUUAGGGAUGAGCUUGACCUGCGCAGGAAGACAGAGAUCCACGAGGUGGAGGAGAGGAAGAACGGCCAGAUCAGCAUGCUUAUGCAGCGCCACGAGGAGGCCUUCACGGACAUCAGGAACUAUUACAGCGAAAUCACCCUCAACAACCUGGCUCUCAUCAACUCCCUCAAGGAGCAGAUGGAGGCCAUGCGGAAGAAAGAGAGGCACCUGGAGAAGGAGAUGAUGGAGGUGUCCGCGCAGAACAGGCUCCUGGCAGACCCCCUGCAGAAGGCUCGGGACGAGAUGAGCGAGAUGCAGAAGCAGCUCGGGGGCUACAAGAGGGACAAGCAGAUCCUGCUGUGCACGAAAGCCCGUCUGAAAGUCACCGAGGAGGAGCUGAAGAGCCUGCAGUGGGAGCACGAGGUUCUGGAGCAGCGCUUCAUCCAGGUGCAGCAGGAGCGGGACGGGCUGUACCGGAAGUUCACCGCAGCCAUCCUGGAGGUGCAGCAGAAGGUGGGCCUCAAGAACCUCGUCUUGGAGCGCAAGGUACAGGCCCUGGCCACCGCGGUGGAGAAGAAGGAGGUGCAGUUCAACGAGGUGCUGGCGGCCUCCAACCUGGACCCUGCGGCCCUGACCCUCGUGUCCCACAAGCUGGAGGACGUUCUGGAAUCGAAGAACAGCACCAUCAAGGACUUGCAGUACGAGCUGGCCCGGGUCUGCAAGGCCCACAAUGACUUGCUGCGUACCUAUGAGGCGAAGCUCCUGGCCUUUGGGGUCCCCCUGGACAACGUAGGCUUCAAGCCCCUGGAGACGGCCGUGAUCGGGCAGACGCUGGGCCAGGGCCCUGCAGGACUCGUGGGCACCCCAACGUAGCCCCUGCCCGGGGCCACUGCCCGGAUGACACCCACCUCACGCACCGAGGACGGCAGGUGAGUGUGAUGCUGGAGUUGGAGCAUUCCACCACCCCACCCCCCCUGCCCCGCCCCCUCCCCGGCCCCGGGCGGACAGACAGAGGCCCUAAGGAAGACACACGCUGAGGAGGAAAGAAGCUGCAUCCCUGGAGUUGCCGCUGGACCGCCUGGCAGGUGUCGGUCGGAAACGAUGGGUAUACGGACACGGCAGUGCUGCCUGUGGUGCCUCGUGAGACCAACAGAAGCUUCCGGACAAGCAGCUGCUGGGGCGCCGCCAAGUCUGUGAGUAGGCUGGCGCCUGGGGAGGGAGAGCUGGAGGGAGUCCUGCUGGCCCCGGAAUCAGGAGCAGUCAGUCAGGUUGCUGCUUUCAGGGGCACGAAUUGGGAGCAUGAAGGGAAUGGGGCCAGAGCAGCCGCGGGGGAGGGUCUGUGAGCAGCAGGGACACGGCAGGGGUGCGGCCGCCAGCAGGCGACCCCGGACAACAGCAGCCCCACGAUCCCCGAAGGGCCCCCAUGCUUUGUGGCCCUUGUCGACCCAUCUCUGUGGGAUUCUGCCUGUGGCCCCCCGAGCCCCCCAGCCCCAUUGCUGUGGAGCAGGGUCUCUGCUGCUUGAAACCACAAAAACCUUUGCAGUCCUGGAGCUGUCCCCCGCUCAUGUCAGGGGGAACCUUCAGGGCAGUAAGAGUUUCUUUGAUAUUCGUACUUUAGUUUCCCAGAGUCUUCAUAUUUCCCCUGAUUUUGCUGCCGUGUGUCCCUGAAACCCUCUGUUGUCUCAUGGGGUGGGCUUCCUCCGUCACAGACCCCUCAAAGGCCUCCCGCCGGGUGAACGUGGGCUUGUCACUCGGCUGCACAGUCUCCACGGGGCCCCUUGUCCCACGCUUGCUGUCCCCAAGCUGGGUCUAGAGAAGGCCCGUCCCAGCAAGAACCCACUUUCUGGCUUUAUCUCUCGUCCCAACGACCGGGGAGUCUUCCAGCCUCGGAAAGAUCACUCAGGGUUUCCUGCUUCAGUGCUCACGGCAGAGAGCUUGCGUCCUCACAGGAAGCACUGCAGCUGCACGUGACCCGUGACCACGCUCCCAGGGACGGACCACGAGGGGUGAUGGCUAAUAUUUGUGGUAGAAGAUGUCUACUGUGCCAUCAGAAGCCGGCAUCUCAUGGAAUCCCCAGCCUCUUCCACGACCGUAGAGCUGGUUCCUGACACCCAGCUCUGCCCACCUCCACCUCUGCAACUCUCAUGUGUGGUACCUGCAAUAUAACAGGUGCUCAAAAAAUGUUUCAUGGCCUUCCCUGGUGGCGCAGUGGUUGAGAGUCCGCCUGCGGAUGCAGGGGACACGGGUUCGUGCCCCGGUCCGGGAAGAUCCCACAUGCCGCGGAGCGGCUGGGCCCGUGAGCUACGGCCGCUGAGCCUGCGCGUCCGGAGCCUGUGCUCCGCAAUGGGAGAGGCCACAGCAGUGAGAGGCCCGCGUACUGCAAAAAAAAAAAAAAAAAAAAAAAAAGUUUCAUGAAUAACUUCAGAACUCAGCGGUUGUCUGACAUAUUUAGAAAAGGAGUGGCCGCCCCUAUUGCCAGCACCCCUGAAACCCCGCAGGAGACACAACCUAGUGUGGUCCCUUCUCUCGCCUGGGGGAGCGUCACACCAGCCGCCCUGCCGCCCUGUCUCCCUGCCUGUAACAAACACACCAUAAGGAGGCUCGCUGGCCCCUGGGCCAGUGAUGCUGUAAAAACCUGGCCUUGUCCUUGUGAGAUUUGGUGUGAAGACAACACAGAAACAGAACCAGCAAAGAAGGAUCCUGGUCAGGAGUAAAUCCCUCUCCACAGUGACCCUGUGAGACCCCAGCGCUCCCUCUGCUAAGCCUGCUCCGGCUGUUUGGGAAGGGGCCCUUGUGACUCUCCGGGCAGCGGGUGGGAGGGAUAACCCAGUCUCUCUUCUGCCUCCUGAGACCAAGGUGGGCAUCGGGGAAACAUCCACACCUCCGACGGGGGUCCAGAGCGGGUGUCCCGAAGGACAGGACCUAGCCAUCCAGUGAGGCCAGGUCUUGUCCACACCGCACUGACCUGCUGGAGGGUCUUGGGUUUCCUGGCCUCCAGCAUUCCCACCGCCAACCCCAGCCUGCAGCGUCUCGGGAGCCCCUCGCUGGCAGCCCCCCCGGGGGCAGAAAGCCGCACAAUCACGGAGAAGGACGAUAAGCACGCAGGACAGAUGAGACCAGCAGUGAGUGUCCCAUGUCCCCUCUGCUCCCCAGGGAGCACCCCAGCCCGGGCCAGCCAUGGCCUUUGUCCUCUUCGGCAGUGUCUUUGCAGUUAAUAGUCCCAGACACCUUCCUCUGGAGGGGAAGAUGCAGUGACCGCGGGAGGGGUGAGGGCGGGGCGUGCUUUAGCCCUAAACCCGGGAAGCUGCAGAACUUCCUUGAGCCCCGAAUGCACCACAUGGGUAACCCUGCAGCAAGCCUGGCCAAGAUCUCGACAGAUUCUCUCUGGAAACACUUUUCAUGUCCAACAAGAGAAGGUCUGUUAAACCCCCGUCCGACCCCGGGACGCGGGGCACGUUGUAACCAUGGAAACUGAAGGGAAGGCGUUUGAGAGGCUUCUUCCUCGGUGUCUCCCCCAGUGGCCCCUGAAGGUACUGCACCCGGAGGAGAAGCGCUCGCUCUUGUCUCCUCACUUUGGGCCGGGCGGUGCCCACCCCUCACAGCCCCUGCUGCCCGCCUGCUUCUGAGUUGCAUGGAAACCUACCGGUCACGAGGCCAAAGCGGGCUCGUCUUGGUGAGCAAAAACAGAGGCCGGUGACAAGGUAAGAUGGGGGCUCGAAAGAUUUCGUAGAAGAAAAGCGUGCACGUGUGUUCCUGUGUGUGUGUGCACAUGUGUCUGUGUGUGGUGACCAGAUGCUGCAUUAAUUGGUGUUGCCUAUACAAUUAUGAGUGGCUUUUAUUUUCUGUAUUUUCUAAAUUUCUUUUUUUUCUAAGCACCUGCAUAUUAACGAGAAAAAGAAAAAAACAGCAAAGCUGUUGACAUCAAGCACGAGAGCUUGCAAAAUAAGAUCUUAAAGUACAUAUUUCAGAAUGUUACAGGAGUUUUCUCUGGGUGAUAGAUGAACGGCCUCCUACUUUUGAAAACGAACUUAAGGGAACCUCUUUGGUAAGUUUUCAGGGGCCUGAGCUUUGAGGACAGCGUCUGUGGGUGACACCCUCCCCACACGCAGCUCUGCCUCAGGUACUGGCUGGGCUAGUGGCCGACCAGGCGGAGUCUGGCAGCCAAAGACCAGUUCACCCUCUUGUGCUCCGCGCUCACCUGCUCAGCUAGGGUCCCGGUAGAGCAGCAGGCCGGUGGGGCUGGCACAGCCAUGGGGCCACUGCGGUCAGAGCGGCACAUGUGAUGGAGGCUGCUGGUGUCCUGUGUGGCCAUCCAGGGCACCCGCAGUGUCAGGUGGAGGCCCUGCAGGCGUCCCGAGCCGAGCCCAGCGCGUGUCAGGCGGCGCACAUCCCUCCGAGCCCCCCUUCAGCACGCAGCUGCCCGUGGCGGGAGGGUGUAUAAGCCGCCAGCCCCCUUGCUAGAGGUGAGCCGAGACUGGGUGAGAGGCCGGAGUGCCUGUUUGCGCCUGAACUGUGGGGUCGCACACCAUCGCCGCCACCACACAGGUCAUCCAUCUUCUGUGCAGGCCGCGGAUGAUGGGGGCCAGGGACUCGGGGCGUCUUGGGGGCUGGCGGCCUCACGAGGAA